rnacentral:lncRNA from 1 species
CACUGGUCGUGACUCUCCCCUCAGGAAAUUAAUGCUGAAAAUCAGAAAGACUGGUCUGCUUUAGAGGAUGGAAUUUACCAUGAGGAGUGAUGGUCUCUUGGCAGGCAGGAGCACUGAUGCACUACAGACUGUUAAAUGCAGACAAACUAGAUCAAGACCACUUAACUUAUUGAUGAGUCUGGCUGGGCCUGACACCCAACCCCAGGUCUCCAGUGUUCUGUAGCUAUGGUGAGG